rnacentral:rRNA from 1 species
GAUGAACGCUGGCGGCGUGCCUAAUACAUGCAAGUCGAGCGAACAGACGAGGAGCUUGCUCCUCUGACGUUAGCGGCGGACGGGUGAGUAACACGUGGAUAACCUACCUAUAAGACUGGGAUAACUUCGGGAAACCGGAGCUAAUACCGGAUAAUAUAUUGAACCGCAUGGUUCAAUAGUGAAAGACGGUUUUGCUGUCACUUAUAGAUGGAUCCGCGCCGCAUUAGCUAGUUGGUAAGGUAACGGCUUACCAAGGCAACGAUGCGUAGCCGACCUGAGAGGCGGGUCGGCCAAAAUGGAACUGAGACAGGGGCAAGAGUCCUGCGGGAGGCAGCAGAAGGGAAUCUUCCGCAAUGGGCGAAAGCCUGACAGAGCAACGCCACGUGAGUGAUGAAGGUCUUCGGUUCGUAAAACGCUGUUAUUAGGGAAGAACAAAUGUGUAAGGAACUGUGCACGUAUUGACGGUACCUGAUCAGGAAGCCACGGCUAACUACGUG